rnacentral:rRNA from 1 species
UACGUAGGGUGCGAGCGUUAAUCGGAAUUACUGGGCGUAAAGUGUGCGCAGGCGGCCGCGCAAGUCGAGUGUGAAAGCCCCGGGCUUAACUUGGGAAUGGCGCUCGAAACUACGUGGCUGGAGUGUGGCAGAGGAAGGUGGAAUUCCACGUGUAGCGGUGAAAUGCGUAGAGAUGUGGAGGAACACCAAUGGCGAAGGCAGCCUUCUGGGCCAACACUGACGCUCAUGCACGAAAGCGUGGGGAGCAAACAGG